AUUUAGUGAGGCAUGGGUAUGAAUUAGUAUUAUCCUCCAAUGUGACAUAAGGUGCAAAGACCCCAGAAAUAAUAGUAAUAGUGGCAAAAAGAGGCUGGGAGCCAGAUUACAGAGACUGAACAAGCAGAGAGAUAAGGAAACAGGAAGGAAGCAAAGCUAAGAAGGAAAAAGUAGUGCUUAGGUCCAGCCAUAUGAACUCUGGUUCUCUGGCAGGACUUCUGUUAAAGAAGAGUAACUUUUAGGAAAAAAGCAAAACCCUAGUCCUGAAGAUGGUGAAGCCACGCAAGGGAUUCAGUCAGUAGCACAAAGAACAGUGGAGAGCCAACUUCAUCUACACUUGGCUUAUUCUGGUAAGUGAAAAUUAACUGGAUUAAUUAAGCUUUUAAUUAGCUUAAAAAGUAAUACUGGGGCAGCCCGGGUGGCUCAGUGGUUUAGCGCCACCUUCAGCCCAGGGUGUGAUCCUGGGGACCUGGGAUCAAGUCCCAUGUUGGGCUCCCUGCAUGGAGUCUGCUUCUCCCUCUGCCUGUGUCUCUGCCUCUGUGUGUGUGUGUGUGUGUGUCUCAUGAAUAAAUAAAUAAAAUCUUUUUAAAAAAAAGAAAUUUAAAAUAAAAAGUAAUACUAAAAAUAAAAAGUAAUACUAGCCACUGGGGAAGUUAAAAUUGGAUCCCAGGGUAAUUACAUUUUCCUGUUAAAAGUGUUCAAGACAGUUAAUAAUCAGAAAUAUUUUGCAGCACCCAUAAAAAUCAAUGAAUGGCCUGAUGAACCAAAUGAAAACAACGAAGCAUAUGAAGAUGAUGGAUAUCCAUCAAAAUACUCAGGUGCAAUGAAAAAUGAAACCGUGAUCAAAGAGAUAAGAACCCAGAGAGAUCAUGAUAUAGCAUAUGCUAUACCAAAAAGAUACAUCAAAUGGAAUCUAGGGAAUAUGGAUUUAUAAAGUUCAAUCCAAAAGUGCCCUGUAAUCCAUUCUCAUAUAUCACUACACUAUGUGAAACAAUAAAUGCAUUAUUUAAUCAG
rnacentral:lncRNA from 12 species